GGCUGGGUGCGUGAGUGGUUGAAACGGGCUGCCUGAUAAGCAGCUGUACCGGAAACGGUACCGGGGGUUCGAAUCCCCCUCCAAUUC
rnacentral:tRNA from 1 species